UACGGAGGGGGCUAGCGUUGUUCGGAAUUACUGGGCGUAAAGCGCACGUAGGCGGCUUUGCAAGUUAGAGGUGAAAGCCCGGGGCUCAACUCCGGAAUUGCCUUUAAAACUGCAUCGCUAGAAUUGUGGAGAGGUAAGUGGAAUUCCGAGUGUAGAGGUGAAAUUCGUAGAUAUUCGGAAGAACACCAGUGGCGAAGGCGACACACUGGGCCAUUACUGACGCUGAGGCGCGAAAGCGUGGGGAGCAAACAGG
rnacentral:rRNA from 1 species